rnacentral:tRNA from 1 species
GGCUUCAUGGUCUAGUGGUAUGAUUCUCGCUGAAAGUACCCCAUUCCAAUAUCUUCUCUAUACGAACUUUAAACUAAUACCUUCCACAGUUGGGUCGCAUUACAUGCAAUCUUGCGAGAGGCCCCGCGUUCGAAUCGCGGUGGAGCCC